CAGAACAACUGCUACGGUACCACAGUGCUUGGGUUCGGUACUAUCCACAGUUUCAGGCAUCCACUGGAGCUCUUGGGACAUAUCCCCAGCAGAUAAGGAGGGACUGCUGUACACACGUUAGAGAAGAAAAUGUUAAAGAAUUCAUCAAGAGGCAAUAGAGUAUAGUAUCAAAGUAUUAAUAGAUACUCUGAGGUAUCUGCCUAUGAUGAAGUGGGGGAAAAAUGGUCCUUUAAACAUAGAGAGGGACAUGCUCCAGGCUACAUCUAUCUCAAUAAACACUCUACAAGUGAUUACAGAGGCAGAUGGUGGCUUCCCCUUGUCUUCUUGGUUUGAUCUUCUCAAUAUGGAACUUCAACCCUAUGAGUGAGCUGAGCCUGGG